rnacentral:rRNA from 1 species
GAUGAACGCUAGCGGCAGGCUUAACACAUGCAAGUCGAGGGGUAGGUUACUUCGGUAAUUGAGACCGGCGCACGGGUGCGUAACGCGUAUACAAUCUACCUUUUACAGAGGGAUAGCCCAGAGAAAUUUGGAUUAAUACCUCAUAGUAUUUUUGAAUCGCAUGAUUUGAUUAUUAAAGUUCCAACGGUAAAAGAUGAGUAUGCGUCCCAUUAGCUAGAUGGUAAGGUAACGGCUUACCAUGGCUACGAUGGGUAGGGUCCUGAGAGGGAGAUCCCCCACACUGGUACUGAGACACGGACCAGACUCCUACGGGAGGCAGCAGUGAGGAAUAUUGGACAAUGGGCGCAAGCCUGAUCCAGCCAUGCCGCGUGCAGGAAGAAGGUCCUAUGGAUUGUAAACUGCUUUUAUACAAGAAGAAACACUCCCUCGUGAGGGAACUUGACGGUACUGUAUGAAUAAGGACCGGCUAACUCCGUGCCAGCAGCCGCGGU